AGAGUUGAUCCUGGCUAGGACGAACGCUGGCGGCGUGCUAACACAUGCAAGUCGAACGAGAAUCAUCGGAAGGAGUAUUCGUACAACGGAAGGUGAGGACAGUGGCGGACGGGUGAGUAACGCGUGAGGAACCUGCCUUUCAGAGGGGGACAACAGUUGGAAACGACUGCUAAUACCGCAUAACGCAUUGUUGUCGCAUGGUGACGAUGCCAAAGAUUUAUCGCUGAAAGAUGGCCUCGCGUCUGAUUAGCUUGUUGGUGAGGUAACGGCCCACCAAGGCGACGAUCAGUAGCCGGACUGAGAGGUUGGCCGGCCACAUUGGGACUGAGAUACGGCCCAGACUCCUACGGGAGGCAGCAGUGGGGAAUAUUGGGCAAUGGGCGCAAGCCCUGACCCAGCAACGCCGCGUGAAGGAAGAAGGCUUUCGGGUUGUAAACUUCUUUUGUCGGGGACGAGCAGAAGACGGUACCUGACGAAUAAGCCACGGCUAACUACGUGCCAGCAGCAGC
rnacentral:rRNA from 1 species